rnacentral:rRNA from 1 species
UACGGAGGGUGCAAGCGUUGUCCGGAUUUAUUGGGUUUAAAGGGUGCGUAGCGGUUUUUUUAAGUCAGUGGUGAAAUCCUGCAGCUCAACUGUAGAACCGCCAUUGAUACUGAAAAACUUGAGUACAGACGAGGUAGGCGGAAUUUAUGGUGUAGCGGUGAAAUGCAUAGAUACCAUAAAGAACACCUAUUGCGAAGGCAGCUUACUAGCUGUAACUGACGCUGAGGCACGAAAAGUGUGGGGGAUCAAAACAGGG